UACGGGGGGGGCAAGCGUUGUUCGGAAUUACUGGGCGUAAAGGGCUCGUAGGCGGCCAACUAAGUCGGAUGUGAAAUCCCCAGGCUCAACCUGGGAACUGCAUCCGAUACUGGACGGCUUGAAUUCGGGAGAGGGAUGCAGAAUUCCAGGUGUAGCGGUGAAAUGCGUAGAUAUCUGGAGGAAUACCGGUGGCGAAGGCGGCAUCCUGGACCAUUACUGACGCUGAGGCGCGAAAGCGUGGGGAGCAAACAGG
rnacentral:rRNA from 1 species